GAUAAACGCUGGCGGCGUGCAUGAGACAUGCAAGUCGAACGGAUGAUCAGGGCUUGCUCUGAUCGUUAGUGGCGGACGGCUGAGUAACGCGUAGGUGACCUGCCCCGAAGUGGGGAAUAACUGCCCGAAAGGGUGGCUAAUACCGCAUGUGGUGGUGCCUUCACUGGCAUCAGUAAAGCCGCAAGGCGCUUCGGGAGGGGCCUGCGUCCGAUUAGCNCGUUGGUGGGGUAACGGCUCACCAAGGCGACGAUCGGUAGGUGGUCUGAGAGGACGAUCACCCAGACUGGGACUGAGACACGGCCCAGACUCCUACGGGAGGCAGCAGUCGGGAAUUUUGCGCAAUGGACGAAAGUCUGACGCAGCAACGCCGCGUGAGGGAUGACGGCCUCGGUUGUAACU
rnacentral:rRNA from 1 species